CCUCGGAUAGUUCAGUUGGUAGAGCAUGAGACUCUUAAUCUCACGGUUGUGGGUUCGAGCCCCAAGUUGGGGG